rfam:Negativicoccus succinicivorans DORA_17_25 Q612_NSC00298, whole genome shotgun sequence.
GGGCCUAUAGCUCAGGGGUAGAGCAGCCGGCUCAUAACCGGUCGGUCCCUGGUUCGAUCCCAGGUGGGCCCA